rnacentral:rRNA from 1 species
GACGAACGCUGGCGGCGUGCCUAAUACAUGCAAGUAGAACGCACAGGAUACACCGUAGUUUACUACACCGUAUUCUGUGAGUUGCGAACGGGUGAGUAACGCGUAGGUAACCUGCCUGGUAGCGGGGGAUAACUAUUGGAAACGAUAGCUAAUACCGCAUAAGAACAUUUACUGCAUGGUAGAUGUUUAAAAGGUGCAAAUGCAUCACUACCAGAUGGACCUGCGUUGUAUUAGCUAGUAGGUGAGGUAACGGCUCACCUAGGCGACGAUACAUAGCCGACCUGAGAGGGUGAUCGGCCACACUGGGACUGAGACACGGCCCAGACUCCUACGGGAGGCAGCAGUAGGGAAUCUUCGGCAAUGGGGGGAACCCUGACCGAGCAACGCCGCGUGAGUGAAGAAGGUUUUCGGAUCGUAAAGCUCUGUUGUUAAGGAAGAACGAGUGUGAGAAUGGAAAGUUCAUACUGUGACGGUACUUAACCAGAAAGG